AAGCUAUUGUGUGCUAUUUAUUUUUGUUUGUACAUGUAUUAUUAAGUAAUACAUAUUUCCAUAUUCAUCAUUUUGUGAAAAAAGAUCCACGUUGUUUACACUAGAGAAAAAUUUGUGGAGGAAAGUGAAAAAUGGUAUACUUCAACCUGCAUUUAGACUUGAUCAGAUCUUCUCUAGCAGUGGAUGGUCUUUGUCAUCAUGAGUCCCUUGGAGUUGCCCUGGAUCCUUGCAUUACUGAUAAUAGGACAUCCAGUUGGAAAUAUUCAAUGGCCAUUUGGUGAUGUGAGACAAGUGAUAGUGGAAUCCUGAUGCAUGAAGGCUCUCAGGAGAGAGUACAUCUACAAAUAAACACAAGAAAGCAAAGAGAAAAAUCCUCUUC
rnacentral:lncRNA from 1 species